AUUGAACGCUGGCGGCAUGCUUUACACAUGCAAGUCGAACGGCAGCGCGGGGGCAACCCUGGCGGCGAGUGGCGAACGGGUGAGUAAUGCAUCGGAACGUAUCCUGUAAUGGGGGAUAACGUAGCGAAAGUUACGCUAAUACCGCAUACGCUCGAGAGAGGAAAGUGGGGGAUCGCAAGACCUCAUGUUAUAGGAGCGGCCGAUGUCCGAUUAGCUAGUUGGUGGGGUAAAGGCCUACCAAGGCGACGAUCGGUAGCUGGUCUGAGAGGAUGAUCAGCCACACUGGGACUGAGACACGGCCCAGACUCCUACGGGAGGCAGCAGUGGGGAAUUUUGGACAAUGGGCGAAAGCCUGAUCCAGCCAUGCCGCGUGCGGGAAGAA
rnacentral:rRNA from 1 species